GAUGCGGGUGCUAUACAUGCAGUCGAGCGAGCCGAACUAAUUGAUUACCUUCGGGUAUGAAGUUAGGGAAGCGAGCGGCGGAUGGGUGAGUAACACGUGGGUAACCUACCCUAUAGUCUGGGAUACCACUUGGAAACAGGUGCUAAUACCGGAUAAAAGGAGAGAUCACAUGAUUUCUUUUUGAAAGGCGGCGUAAGCUGUCGCUAAAGGAUGGACCCGCGGUGCAUUAGCUAGUUGGUAAGGUAACGGCUUACCAAGGCAACGAUGCAUAGCCGAGUUGAGAGACUGAUCGGCCACAUUGGGACUGAGACACGGCCCAAACUCCUACGGGAGGCAGCAGUAGGGAAUCUUCCACAAUGGACGCAAGUCUGAUGGAGCAACGCCGCGUGAGUGAAGAAGGUUUUCGGAUCGUAAAGCUCUGUUGUUGGUGAAGAAAGAUAGUGAGAGUAACUGCUCAUUAUUUGCCGGUAAUCAACCAGAAAGUCACGGCUAACUACGUGCCAGCAGCCGCGGUAAUACGUAGGUGGCAAGCGUUGUCCGGAUUUAUUGGGCGUAAAGCGAGCGCAGGCGGAAAGAUAAGUCAGAUGUGAAAGCCCUCGGCUUAACCGAGGAAUAGCAUCGGAAACUGUCUUUCUUGAGUGCAGAAGAGGAGAGUGGAACUCCAUGUGUAGCGGUGGAAUGCGUAGAUAUAUGGAAGAACACCAGUGGCGAAGGCGGCUCUCUGGUCUGUAACUGAC
rnacentral:rRNA from 1 species